rnacentral:rRNA from 1 species
CUUUACUGUAGCUCUGCAUUGGACUUUGAACCGGUUUGUGUAGGAUAGGUGGGAGACUGUGAAACCGGGACGCCAGUUUCGGUGGAGUCAACCUUGAAAUACCACCCUGAUUUGUUUGAGGUUCUAACCUUGGUCCGUGAAUCCGGAUCGGGGACCGUGCAUGGUAGGCAGUUUGACUGGGGCGGUCUCCUCCCAAAAGGUAACGGAGGAGUACGAAGGUACGCUUAGGGCGGUCGGACAUCGCCCAUAAAGUGCAAUGGCAAAAGCGUGCUUGACUGCGAGACCCACAAGUCGAGCAGGUACGAAAGUAGGUCAUAGUGAUCCGGUGGUUCUGUAUGGAAGGGCCAUCGCUCAACGGAUAAAAGGUA